AACGCACCUUGCGCUCCUUGGUAUUCCGAGGAGCAUGCCUGUUUGAGUGUCAUUAAAUUAUCAACCUCUUCAACUUUGAAGAGGAUUGGAUGUGGGGGCUGGAGGCUUAUUCAAGUCCCCUCCCCUUAAAUGCAUUAGCUGGAACCUUUUUGUGAACCUACAAUGGUGUGAUAAUUAUCUACGCUAUUGGUGAGACGCAAUAUAAAUACAGAGGUUCUGCUUCUAACAGUCCAUUUGAUUGGACACUCUGACAAUUUGACCUCAAAUCAGGUAGGACUACCCGCUGAACUUAA
rnacentral:misc_RNA from 2 species